rnacentral:rRNA from 1 species
GGAUGCGAUCAUACCAGCACUAAAGCACCGGAUCCCAUCAGAACUCCGAAGUUAAGUGUGCUUGGGCGAGAGUAGUACUAGGAUGGGUGACCUCCUGGGAAGUCCUCGUGUUGCAUUCA